rfam:Homo sapiens chromosome 9, GRCh38 reference primary assembly.
GCCGGGCAUCGUGGCUCAUGCCUGUAAUCCCAGCUACUCAGGAGGCUGAGGCAGGAGAAUCACUUGAGCCCGGGAGGCGGAGGUUGCAGUGAACUGAGAUUGUGUCACUUCACUCCAGCCUGGGCAACAGAGUGAGACUCUGUCUCAA